rnacentral:rRNA from 1 species
AUACGUAGGGAGCGAGCGUUGUCCGGAAUCACUGGGCGUAAAGGGCGCGUAGGCGGCAUUGCAAGUUGCAUGUGAAAUACCAUGGCUCAACCAUGGGGUGUCAUGCAAAACUGUAAAGCUUGAGUGCAGUAGAGGAAAGCGGAAUUCCUGGUGUAGCGGUAAAAUGCGUAGAGAUCAGGAGGAACACCGGUGGCGAAGGCGGCUUUCUGGGCUGUAACUGACGCUGAGGCGCGAAAGCGUGGGGAGCGAACAGGAUUAGAUACCCUGGUAGUCCACGCCGUAAACGAUGAAUAUUAGGUGUAGGCCUUUAAGGUCUGUGCCGGAGCAAACGCAAUAAAUAUUCCGCCUGGGGAGUACGGCCGCAAGGUUGAAACUCAAAUGAAUUGACGGGG